AGAUGUGAGGGCGAUCUGGCUGCGACAUCUGUCACCUCAAUGACCACCAGGGUUGAUUCGUUUGAUCUUGCUGGCUAAGUGGGUGUCCCCUUCCUCCCUCACUGCUCCAUGUGUGCCUCCCAAAUUCCUUCUGGAAAAGGACGACCUUCCCUGAAUAGAGGACUAACAGUCUUUGGUCAAGGGUAUGUGAGCAGCUGCACUCCCCUGCUAGAACCUGCAAAUAAGCUCUCAAGAGAACCAGCAAACCUACAUCCAUCUUUGUCUUUGAGAUCUUGAAGAAAGAUCAAAGUGUAAAUUAAGUCCAAUGACACACACAUCUAAGCAGUCUGUAACAAUGU
ensembl:misc_RNA 7SK 7SK RNA